rnacentral:rRNA from 1 species
GACGAACGCUGGCGGCGUGCCUAAUACAUGCAAGUCGAACGCAUUUUCUUUCAACGUAGCUUGCUACACCGAAAGAAAGUGAGUGGCGAACGGGUGAGUAACACGUGGGUAACCUGCCCAUCAGCGGGGGAUAACACUUGGAAACAGGUGCUAAUACCGCAUAAUUCCAUUUACCGCAUGGUAGAUGGAUGAAAGGCGCUUUUGCGUCACUGAUGGAUGGACCCGCGGUGCAUUAGCUAGUUGGUGGGGUAACGGCCUACCAAGGCUGCGAUGCAUAGCCGGGCGGAGAGGAGGAGCAGCAACACGGGGAGGGGGACACGGCCGAGACUGAUACGGGAGGCAGCAGAGGGGAAUAUUGGACAAUGGGAGAAAGACUGAGACAGCAAGGAAGAGGGAGUGAUGAAGGCGUGAGGGAUGAAAAGCUCUUUUACCAGUGAGGAUAAUGACAGUACCGAGAGAAUAAGCGACGGCUAACUCCGUG